GACGAACGCUGGCGGCGUGCUUAACACAUGCAAGUCGAACGGAAAGGCCCUGCUUUUGUGGGGUGCUCGAGUGGCGAACGGGUGAGUAACACGUGAGUAACCUGCCCUUGACUUUGGGAUAACUUCAGGAAACUGGGGCUAAUACCGGAUAGGAGCUCCUGCUGCAUGGUGGGGGUUGGAAAGUUUCGGCGGUUGAGGAUGGACUCGCGGCUUAUCAGCUUGUUGGUGGGGUAGUGGCUUACCAAGGCUUUGACGGGUAGCCGGCCUGAGAGGGUGACCGGCCCCAUUGGGCCUGAGAUACGGCCCAGACGCCUACGGGAGGCAGCAGUGGGGAAUAUUGCACAAUGGGCGGAAGCCUGAUGCAGCAACGCCGCGUGCGGGAUGACGGCCUUCGGGUUGUAAACCGCUUUCGCCUGUGACGAAGCGUGAGUGACGGUAAUGGGUAAAGAAGCACCGGCUAACUACGUG
rnacentral:rRNA from 1 species